rnacentral:lncRNA from 1 species
CCUGGCACCUGAUGGUGCCAUUUGAUAACCCCCAGGUCUUCUGCUGGUAGUCAGGGAGUAAUUGGCCUCUGUUCAGCCUCUCCUUGCCACUCAUGAUUUUACAGAUCCCUGUCACUGUCCUGUAUUGUCUUUUCUAGAUGAGAAAGUCCUGGUUUAUGCAGGCAUUUCUUGUGUGAAGGAAUGGGCUGUUCCAAAACCGCUGUCCAUCCUUAUUGUUCCAACCUGAACAUUUUCCUAUAUCCGUCCAUCUUCUUGAAGCUGGUCUUCCGAGGAAAUACAUGGUCGUAAGAAGACAUGAAAUAAAGGCUGCAUUGGCUGCUGAGGCUCCUACCA